UCCAGACUCCUACGGGAGGCAGCAGUGGGGAAUCUUCCGCAAUGGGCGAAAGCCUGACGGAGCAACGCCGCGUGAUCGAAUGAAGGCCUUCGGGUUGUAAAGAUCUGUUGACAGGGACGAAUAAGCAAUGCGAAUAGUUUUGUGUAUGACGGUACCUGUUUAGAAAGCUCCGGCUAACUACGUGCCAGCAGCCGCGGUAAUACGGGGGGUGCAAGCGUUGUCCGGAAUCAUUGGGCGUAAAGCGUUCGUAGGCGGUAUGUCAAGUCUGAUGUUAAAGCCCGGGGCUCAACUCCGGUUCGGCAUUGGAUACUGGCAAACUAGAAUGUGGUAGAGGUAAAGGGAAUUCCUGGUGUAGCGGUGAAAUGCGUAGAUAUCAGGAGGAACAUCGGUGGCGAAAGCGCUUUACUGGACCAUUAUUGACGCUGAGGAACGAAAGCCAGGGGAGCAAAUGGGAUUAGAUACCCGCGUAA
rnacentral:rRNA from 1 species